GUAGUUAGCCGGGGCUUCCUCCUUGGCUACCGUCACUUUCUUCGUCACCAAGGACAGAGGUUUACAACCCGAAGGCCUUCAUCCCUCACGCGGCGUUGCUGGGUCAGGCUUGCGCCCAUUGCCCAAUAUUCCCCACUGCUGCCUCCCGUAGGAGUCUGGACCGUGUCUCAGUUCCAGUGUGGCCGAUCAGCCUCUCAGCUCGGCUACCCAUCGUCGACUUGGUGGGCCGUUAUCCCGCCAACUAUCUAAUGGGACGCGAACCCCUCCAAUAGCGGAUUGCUCCUUUGACCUCAUCCUGAUGUCAGGUCGUGGUCUUAUGCGGUAUUAGCAACCGUUUCCGGUUGUUAUCCCCCUCUACUGGGCAGGUUGUUCACGCGUUACUCACCCGUUCGCCACUAAGUUAUCAACCGAAAUCAAUAACUCCGUUCGACUUGCAUGUGUUAGGCACGCCGCCAGCGUUCGUCCUGACACGAUCAAUUCUACUACUGACGUCGGACGUGGGCAGGCGACGACGACG
rnacentral:rRNA from 1 species